AUUGCCCCAGUAACGGCGAGUGAAGCGGCAACAGCUCAAAUUUGAAAUCUGGCCUCGGCCCGAGUUGUAAUUUGCAGAGGAUGCUUCUGGCGCGGUGCCUUCCGAGUUCCCUGGAACGGGACGCCAUAGAGGGUGAGAGCCCCGUAUGGUUGGAUACCUAGCCUGUGUGAAGCUCCUUCGACGAGUCGAGUAGUUUGGGAAUGCUGCUCAAAAUGGGAGGUAUAUCUCUUCUAAAGCUAAAUACCGGCCAGAGACCGAUAGCGCACAAGUAGAGUGAUCGAAAGAUGAAAAGCACCUUGAAAAGGGGGUUAAACAGCACGUGAAAUUGUUGAAAGGGAAGCGCCUAUGACCAGACUUGUGCCCGGCGGAUCACCCAGCGUUCUCGCUGGGGCACUCCGCCGGGCCCAGGCCAGCAUCGGUUUUCGCCGGGGGAUAAAGGCUCUGGGAACGUAGCUCCUCCGGGAGUGUUAUAGCCCUCUGCGUAAUACCCUGGCGGGGACCGAGGUACGCGCUCCGCAAGGAUGCUGGCGUAAUGGUCAUCAGCGACCCGUCUUGAAACACGGAUCAAGGAGUCGUCCAUUAGAGCGAGCGUUUGGGUGUUAAACCCGCACGCGUAAUGAAAGUGAACGUAGGUGAGAGCUUCGGCGCAUCAUCGACCGAUCCUGAUGUCCUCGGAUGGAUUUGAGUAUGAGUUUUACUGGACGGACCCGAAAGAUGGUGAACUAUGCCUGUAUAGGGUGAAGCCAGAGGAAACUCUGGUGGAGGCUCGCAGCGGUUCUGACGUGCAAAUCGAUCGUCAAAUA
rnacentral:rRNA from 1 species